rnacentral:rRNA from 1 species
UUGUAUAAUGGGUCAGCGACUUACAUUCAGUGGCGAGGUUAACCGGAUAGGGGAGCCGUAGAGAAAUCGAGUCCGAACAGGGCGACAGUCGCUGGGUGUAGACCCGAAACCAAGUGAUCUACCCAUGGCCAGGAUGAAGGUGCGGUAACACGCCCUGGAGGUCCGAACCCACUAAUGUUGAAAAAUUAGGGGAUGAGCUGUGGGUAGGGGUGAAAGGCUAAACAAACUUGGAAAUAGCUGGUUCUCUCCGAAAACUAUUUAGGUAGUGCCUCAAGUAUCACCACCGGGGGUAGAGCACUGUUAUGGCU